GCCGAUGUGGUGGAACUGGCAGACACGCUGUCUUGAGGGGGCAGUGGGUGAAAACCCGUGAGGGUUCGAGUCCCUCCGUCGGCA
rnacentral:tRNA from 1 species